GUGUUUUCUCUACAAGUUAUCAUUCUCACUUCCCUCUAUCACACAUUCACUCUAUUAGACAUUGGAAAUUGAAAGAUGGUGGUGGUGGUAAUGAUGAUAGCUAAUACUUAUUGAACACUUACUACAUGCCAGGUAUUCUUCUAAGCAUUUUACAUAACUCAUUCAGUUCUUGCAGCAACUCUAUGGAGUAGGUAAGAUUCUUCUCUCCAUUUAUGGUAAAGAAAUGGAGGCACAGCUAACUUACUGAAGGUUGCACAGCUAGUACCUGUCAGAACUGCGAUUUGAAUCCAGGCAACCUGGCUGCAGAACCUGUACUCAUAAAAAUCAUGCCAUAAUGCCAUUAUGCUGUACUGCCAAAGACAAACAGUUACAGAUACUUUGUGGAAUGAAUAUAGACACCCUAUCUGAAACAUACUUAUAGCCUUGCUAAGUAAUUACAGUACAGAUGAACAAUCAUCGGGGGUAGUAGUUAUCACAGAUUCUUCCCUAGAUAGCCAAGAAAGAAUUCAUUUAUUUGAGAAAAGCAAAGCAUAGAGAAGUAUAUUUUUGUGUAGGGAUGGAAGGUUGAGGUUCUGUGGGAGAUAUGACUGUGGAAAACCCCAUUAUAUGUAUGUGUUUAUAAAUAAUGUAUAUACAUUAGCAUGGUAUGUGCUAUGUAUCUUAUGAAAACUUGUAUAUAAUGUACCUUUUGAAAACAUUCAGAAAUAAAAAUGAAAAGUAUUAGUUAAAAAUUAUAUAUCUCAUUAUUUUCUCCUACCCUAUUGAGUUGUCUUAAACAUCCCAGGAGAACCCUUGCUCUGGCCUAUGGGAAUAAUGGAAGGUUCUUAACAUAGACUAGAUCUAUUUAAAACAAAUAAAUAUUGUACUGGCUUCAACAGCACAUGAACUAAAAAAUUGAUAAAAUAGAUAAUUAAGUGCCACUUUAUUUAUAGAUUUACUCACACAUGAAGGACAGGGCCAUCCAUGUCUUCUGUCCAAUAUUAUUAAUCUCCAUUUGCAUCUCCCAUGGGGUAUCUGACCUGGUGCUUCAUACAUAAUGGGUAUUCCACAAGGUGACUGGUUUGCUUCUUCCACUUUGUGGCCUACCCCAAAACUUAGUGGCUAAACAACAAUAGUUCAAAAUUCUGUGGGUCAUUCUGUGGCUUAAGUCAUCUUGCAGCUCAGCUGGGCUUGGAUGGUCUAAGAUGACCUUAUUCACAUAUCUGUCUGUCAGCCAGUUGGGCUAGUAGACCUCAGCUGGAUCAUCUUAUCUCUACUCCUGCUCCACUGGGCUCUCAAGCUCUGGUAGGCUAGACCAGAUUUCUCCACAUGAUGGUCUCAGGGCAGCAUUCCAAAAGUAUGAGAGCUGAAACUUUAAGGUCUCGUUUUUAUUGGUGAGACAGCAUCACAAAGGCCAGCCCCAAUUUAAGAAGUGGAGUAGUAGAUUUCACCUCUUGAUGGUUGCAGCUGUAAGGUUACAUUGCAGAGGAAUGGGAAAAGUAAACUACAGCCAUUUUUUAAAAACUGUAGGUUUACAACACUUACAGAUCCAGAUUUUUGAGAAAAUUGAAUAAAUGUCUAGUUUUAAAGAAGUAAAAUCUAUUUAGUUCUUCUUUUAGUUUCUCAGAAGCUAAGGUUUUGUGGAGGUUUUGGGUUUUUUUGUUUGUUUUUUAAAUUAUUUUUAUGAUGCGUUCCUGUGCUUUCUCUUACCCACAUAUUCAUAUGUGGAACAAUAGCCUAUUGAUAAGCAUCAACUUGUAUUCUGCUAAUCAAUAAGGAUUUCUCCAGAUUUUAUCCAAGGUAUGCCUUCCAGAAUUCCAAGAUUAUAGAAGUUUCUAUAAUCUCAUUUUAUGCUUAGCAUAAGCUUAAGCAAUGCUUAGCAGAGUAGUUUGCUAAUAACCAUUGCUCAUGAGUACCCUUUGAGUUUAAGGCAAGCCAAGCUGCUGCAGAAAACUUGAUUAAAAGUUUGUACACAUCCCAGCUUCCCUUGCCUCACUUUUAAGGUGAGUUAAGUGAAAUCUGCCAGGAGACCACAAAUCCUUUGGCAGUGAUGACAUUUAUAAGUGAUAAAAAUGAAAUGACCUGAAAUAUAUUGACACUUUGUUUAUUCUUUUUAAAGUGAUUAGGGUUUUUCAAAAACUGCUAAUCCUCUUUGGGGGCCGGAGCUGGUAGCAUCAGUGUUCUUGAUGGCACACACAUUGCAUUUGUGAACAGACCCAUCAUGAGCGGACUUCUGGUCUACUGAGGUGUUAUAUGUCUCCGCAUGUUUACAGUGGUGGAGUUUCCUUGCCCUUCUGCCAACAACCACAAAAUGAUCAGUAAUGAGAAGUAAUUAAGUAUCAAGAGGAAGAAAACAAAGACAUGAAUUUCAUGAUACUUCAUGCUUUGUAUUAUCAGUGACUUCAUUGUUUCUCUUGGCAAAAUUUUAAUGCAUCUGUGCUUGGCCCAGGGGUGUGUACUGAGGAAAAGAAAAAUUUUGUAAUAGCAACAGUGGUUUGGGAUUUUCAGGUUAAAAAAAAAAAAAAAAAAAACAAAAAACGAAUGGAAAGUUGCUUUUGUUUAUACCAAAUAAUGAUGCCUUACUCUUCAUAAAGUGCUGGCAGUGACCUAAUGCCUGAUGGUUUUGCAAGGAGAAAUCCUGCUUAGUUGCCAGUUUAACACAGCCCAAUGCAUUGUUAUCUGUGAUUAUCAUAGCUGUAGAAUGGCAGCCCUCAGGAGUGUAAGAGAAUGAUAGACUGGGAUUCAGGAAACCUGGCUUCCGAUCUCAGCUCUAUUUUAAAUAGCUAGAUUCUGGGUUGUCACUUCUAAAGUGAAGACAUUGGGCUAGGUUGGCCCUAAGAGGUCAUUCAGGAUGCAACAAGGACCAGGGAUUCUUUUCCUUGACUUCUAUCGUGUUCCUCACCCCCUAACAGAUCCCCUGACAGCAGGAUUUGGGCCUGAGACUAGAUGAUCUCUGAGGUCCUGGGGCUUCCCACUUUAGAAUUAUGUGAUUCUCUGUUGUCUUGUAUCUAUGGAUACAAAUACAGUUCAUUUGGCCCUGAGAAGCAGAUUCUGUUUUGUUUUCCUGUGUGGUGACCUCGGUCAAUUUUUCUUGGGUUUAAGCUGGUUGAAAUCAUGGUGGGUCUUGGUAAAGAUGUGUCCUUGCAGGAGAAGGACAAGUAAAGAAUUUGCAGCUAUUUACUUAAUUUAAAGAAAUGGAUAAAUAUAAAUAGUGACCUAUUCAAUCUACCACCUCCCUUCAACACACACAAACUUCUAGUCAACUCCUUACUAUACUAUAUAAGUUACAUUUUCUUAAUCAUUCUUUAUUAAUUUUAUAUAUCAAAAGUUGCAUACUAGACAUAAUUGGGUGCUGUUUGGAUAGUUUAGUCUCCAUGUACCUGUUUAUUUUCUUGUCUGAAUGUUGGAGAAGAGGAUAUUUAACUUGUAUAAAGGAACCUGGAAAAGCCUCAGUAAAAGAAAUUGUUUUUGGUCUUGAUCACUUACUAUAUUGAAUUAGCUGAGCAAAACUCCGAUUUAGGGAAGAAAAUAUUAGUAAUAGUUGUAGCUUACAUUUAUUCCAUACUUAACAAAUAUAGGCCUGUUCUAAAUGCUUUCCUUUGAUCAACUCAUUUAAUCUUCACAAAACUGUUAUUCAUCCCCAUUUUGCAGAGAAGGAAACUGAGGCUUGUAGCUGUUUAGUAACUUGCUGAAGGUCAUACUACUAGCAAGUAGUACAUCCCAACUCGGGCAGCCUGGAUCCAAAGUGUCCAGCACAUUACUAUGCUAUAUCUACUUAGGAUCUUAUAAGAAAGCAUACAUAGUAAAGGAAAAAUCCUAGUUCAACAUUAAGUUAUUCACAAACAUUUAUGAAGUACCUGCUAUCCAGGUAUUGUGCUAGGUGAUUUGUUCUAGCUUAUUUUUAGGCUUGGGUGUGGCAUAGGCAUAGCAUAAUAAAAGGAUUAUGAGAUUGUGUAGUUAGACAGAUCUGGGCUUAAAUCACAGCUCCAGUAUGUUAGCUCUGUGGCCGUGGACCACACAUAGUUACUAAAUCUCCCUGAGCCUUCAAAUGUAAAAUGAAAGUAAUGGUACCUGGUAAUAGAUUUAUUGUUCAUGCUUUGUGAGCAAAGGUCCCCUGAUCAGAAGAGCGUGUGU